rnacentral:rRNA from 1 species
UACGUAGGGUGCGAGCGUUAAUCGGAAUUACUGGGCGUAAAGCGUGCGCAGGCGGCUUUGCAAGACAGGAGUGAAAUCCCGGGGCUUAACCCCGGAAUUGCUUUUGAAACUGCAAAUCUAGAAUCCCGGAGAGGUUAGGAGAAUUCCGAGUGUAGAGGUGAAAUUCGCAGAUAUUCGGAGGAAUACCAGUGGCGCAGGCGCCUAACUGGACGGGCAUUGACGCUCAGGCACGAAAGCGUGGGGAGCAAACAGG